GAAACUGAGAGAAGUUUAUUAUUCACGGGGUCCUGGGGUGGGGGGAGUACACAACAGGCCUCAAGGGGCCACACAAGGACGUCAAGGCAGAAAGCAGAGAGAGACUGGACCCGCGGCACAUGUCUUUAUUAGAGUCCCCGGGCUAGGACCACACUGGUCAAUUCAAACCAGAAAAGCAGGGUUUAGGUAAGCUCCACAGGGGUCUUGGCUAAGGAGCACAUAAGGCGGACAGGUGCUGAUAAGCAGGGGAGACGGCACUCACGAGCAUGGGGGGAAAAGCCACAUGGGGACCUGACAUUCGCUUGUGGCUCUGCAGCUGCCAUCUGGGGGCCACCAUGAGUCAGGUCCCCACAGACUGCUCAGCCAGACCACGCAGGUGCAGAGCAGUGAUACUAUCAAGUAGCUCAGCAGCUCUCGACAGGUGUGUGUCUACCACGCAGAUUUACGGCUCAUCCACCUGGGCACAUACUGUGCCGCCUGAAUCUACGAGUGCAUGUGUCUUGUCAGACUUGAGCCGUGUUUUCUCUGAAUACUUUUCUUCCUCUAUUUUGUCUUUUGGGAACUCCUGCUGGCUCUUCUCACUUUAAGUGCCUCUCUGUAGACUGAAUCCUAUGACUUUGCUUCGCUCUACUUUUCUGUUCCUUCUCUCUGCAGCUGAGUAUUGUGAUGUUCACAUCGCAAUGCCAGUACUCAUUUCUACACUCUGUGGGGUCCCCUUUCCAAAGAAACCCAUUAUCUGUCUUUGUGCCUUGCUUUCACGUGGUUUCAACUUUUUGUUUUUAAUCAUUUGUGAAGGGAGCUAUUGUUAUAGAGGUUCAUGUGUUUCUAUGACCCUAAAAUCCUGGAUGUUAUUUUGUUCAUGUGUUCGCUGACUCCCGUGGCAGCCCGGUUCCUCAUGCUUUGUAGUUUUGGAUUAUGAACUCAUGUUGGGUUUGUCCAUCAGAAUCCUGGUGGACAUGGGUUGAGGGUGUCUCCCUCUAAAAGGUAUUUUGUUUGCUUCUGUCAUUUGUUCCAAAGACAGGGCCAAUUUCUCUAUUCACUGGUCAGUUUUAAAACUGGGACAGGAAUAGGGUGAAUUCCAAACUCUGACUCACAUGGGGUGGUCAGGGCUGAUGAGUCAUCAGGGCAAAUCUUCCCCCAUCAGAGCCCAUGGAGAGAAAGACAAGCUUCCCACCCAAGUGAGAUUUUGCUGCUAGUCCACCCUUUUCCUGUACAGAGCGACUUCUGAAAUCUCUGAAUUUGUAAGUUACUUCAGUACCCACGGUCUGCCUCACAUGCCCCAAGGCCUUGCUUCAUGUCCUCCUUUGGUCUUGAACACCCAAGCUUUGGGGUCAACCAAGUUACAACCACAGGGCAGCUCCAGCUUCAGCCCCUAAACUUAAUCUUUGGCUCUCAGUUCAGUUCAGCUCUCUGACACCUGGUAACGCCAUUCUUGCCAGCUGAACUAUGCAUUUAUUUAUUUAUUUAUUUAUUUAUUUAUUUUUAAUAAAUUUAUUUUUUAUUGGUGGUCAAUUUGAACUAUGCAUUUAAAAGAAUGUUCUCUAUUAUUUGUCAUUUCUGAUAAAAUGGCUUUCACCUUGGGUGGUCUGAUAUAUUGCCAGAAAAGGGAGUUCUAACCUUACACAUUUAAUAUGAAACCUAAUUGUGAACUAGACGAUGGAGAGGUGAUGAGAUGUCAUGAACCUGCUGGUUUCCAGAUCCGGGGGUAGGGGGCCCUGUAAUGCUUGCCAGCAAACAAACAAACAAAAAUAAAUGAGAUGUUGGUAUGGUGUCUGGACUCCUGGCUUAAGAAUAAACUCCUACUUUUCUAGGUAUAAUGUACAUUAUGAAGACAAAAGGGUGUGAUUUAGGGGAGUCUGACAGCUGUCAUUCUGUAUAUUCUGGUGUGUGUGCCCACAGGCUCACACUUAUGUUUAAUUAGCGAUGCAGUUUAAAAAUAAAGCAGAUUCUUUCUAUGCAGCAUGCUCAGGGACGUAAGCCCUCUUUGUGCCCUGGGACUGUUCUGAUGUUUAUUAGAUCUGUUGUCUUAAUGAUUUACUUUAUUCACGGACUUCAAAGCUCAUUAGCCACAGGUAAUUCAGAUAGAUUUU
rnacentral:lncRNA from 1 species